rnacentral:rRNA from 1 species
CCCCAUACUCCUUCUCAUUAUAAGAUGAGUCGGGAAAGUUUUUUCGCUAAAGGAUUGGGCUAUAUGGUAUCAGCUUGUUGGUGAGGUAACGGCUCACCAAGGCUAUGACGCCUAACUGGUCUGAGAGGAUGAUCAGUCACACUGGAACUGAGACACGGUCCAGACUCCUACGGGAGGCAGCAGUGGGGAAUAUUACACAAUGGAGGAAACUCUGAUGUAGCAACGCCGCGUGGAGGAUGACACAUUUCGGUGCGUAAACUCCUUUUAUAUGGGAAGAUAAUGACGGUACCAUAUGAAUAAGCACCGGCUAACUCCGUGCCAGCAGCCGCGGUAAUACGGAGGGUGCAAGCGUUACUCGGAAUCACUGGGCGUAAAGCGCAUGUAGGCGGUCUUGUAAGUUGGGUGUGAAAGCCUAUGGCUCAACCAUAGAACUGCACCCAAAACUACUAGGCUAGAGUCUGGGAGAGGAAAAUGGAAUUAGUUGUGUAGGGGUAAAAUCCGUAGAGAUAACUAGGAAUACCAAAAGCGAAGGCAAUUUUCUGGAACAGUACUGACGCUCAGAUGCGAAAGCGUGGGUAGCAAACAGGAUUAGACACCCUGGUAGUCCACGCCCUAAACGAUGAAUGUUAGUCGUCGGGAGGCUCGUCCUUUCGGUGAUGCAGCUAACGCAUUAAACAUUCCGCCUGGGGAGUACGGUCGCAAGAUUAAAACUCAAAGGAAUAGACGGGGACCCGCACAAGUGGUGGAGCAUGUGGUUUAAUUCGAAGAUACGCGAAGAACCUUACCUAGCCUUGACAUUGAUAGAAUCCGAUGGAAACAUUGGAGUGCCAGUUUACUGGAGCUUGAAAACAGGUGCUGCACGGCUGUCGUCAGCUCGUGUCGUGAGAUGUUGGGUUAAGUCCCGCAACGAGCGCAACCCUCGUCCUUAGUUACUAACGGUUCGGCCGAGGACUCUAAGGAGACUGCCUUCGUAAGGAGGAGGAAGGUGAGGACGACGUCAAGUCAUCAUGGCCCUUACGGCUAGGGCGACACACGUGCUACAAUGGAUAGGACAAUGAGACGCAAUACCGCGAGGUGGAGCAAAUCUAUAAACCUAUUCUCAGUUCGGAUUGUAGUCUGCAACUCGACUACAUGAAGCUGGAAUCACUAGUAAUCGUAGAUCAGCCAUGCUACGGUGA